rnacentral:lncRNA from 1 species
UAUUUUCAUACUAAUAUAAAGAGAGACAGACUAUCAAUAUAGAGAGAGAUAAUCAGAUAACUAUCAAAACUCAAAAGAGACCGUACCCACUAUCCACUACCCACCAUCUCCUUCCGCCUCCUUCCUCCCUCUUCCAACUCUGUAUUUGUUUGAACCCUAUCGAAACUCCCUUUUUGAUCUAUUCUUGUACAAAGUCCGGGUUGUUAAAUUUGUUGUUCUUGUAUGAUUAGUAGAGGGUAAUUGUGUACUUGAUGAAGGAGUUAUGAUCUGAGGGGUGGCUCUAUUUUGGUUGGGGGUUACCGAUCUUGAUUCUUAAUGGUUAUGUGUUGGUGUUAGUUUUGAAAGGAGGUUUCUCCAGAUCUGAGUUUCUUUUUCAGAUCUCUUAUGGAGCUUGCCGGAAUUUGGGUUUUGCUCUACUCAUCUCCGAUGGUUUUAUGAAUUAUGGAUUGAUCCAUGUCGAUCUGGGUUCAUGCUACACCUACUGCCUAUCAUGUUCAUGCUCUGAUUUGGGUUUGCUAUUUUUGGUUGUAAUCUCAAGUUUUUCAUCUCAAUUCGAAUUGCCGAAUUGAUAAUGAUGAUGAAGUACCGCAUAUAUGGUGAAAUUCUGUUAUUAUUCCAUUCUUUAUUAUUAUGUUGGAAUAUCCUGUCUGUGCGUUUUACGCCGGACCUGAUUCUGUUAUUUAUUAUUAUGUUGGAAUAACUUGUCUAUGCGAAGUACCGCAUGCAUGGUGAUUUCUGUUGUUAUUUCAUUCUUUAUUAUUCUGUUGGAAUAUCCUGUCGGUGCGUAUUACGCCUGACCUGGUUCCGUUAUUUAUUAUUCUGUUGGAAUAACCUGUCCAUGCGAAGUACCGCAUGCAUGGUGAUUUCUUUUGUUAUUCCAUUCUUUAUUAUACUCAGUUGGUUAAAUUUUUACCUUCUAUACUCCAUGAAAUUAGUGGAAUAUCCUUGAUAUUUGCGCUUCAUCCAGUAUCUUUUCAUGGAAAUAUUCUUCUGAGCAUUCUUGAAUUUUACUCUACAAAGCAGUAUCAUGUUGACAAUUUGGACGUUAUUAGUUCCUGGAUAAAUUAAUUCUUGAACUUGUUUUAUUGAAUUCUUAUAUCAUUGUCAUCAUCCUCAUGUUUAUAUUUUGUUGAAAGUCAUAUGUGGCCUGUAGUGCAUAGAUGGACUUGGUAUGAUUAUGACCAGGGAUUAUUCGGUGUAAUCAUGACCGUAAUGUUACAAAUGAUGUGGUAAAAGUCAUCAUUGGUCCAUAGUGCAUUGAUGGACAGUUGUUGGCAUGAUCAUGACCAUUAAUGAAUAUACAAAUAUCUUUGGCCCGUAGUGCAUGGAUAAUUUGUGGUUGUGAUACUAAUGAAUAUCCUUGGCCGUAGUGCAUGGAUGAUGUGGAUUAUUUAUUAAGCUGAGUCCCAGCGAUAAAAGUGAUGAAAACCUUUUAAAUCAUAAAAGAUAGUAGAUUUUAUUCUCUACUUGAUUCUUUUAAUGGAUUGCAUGUUCCGCUGCAGUUAAACUUGAUGUCUAUUGUAUUUUAUCAAUUUAACACUGUUGAAGACUAAUAAUAAUUUAUUCUGCAUUAUCUUAGUCAUAAUAUUUCUUACUGGGCUAGUUGAGCUCACCCUUUCUUUCACUGUUUUCUUCAGGAAAUGAGAACGUAGCCGGGACUAGUCGGGGAACGGAGUGACGGUCCAGAUAAUAGUAUUAGUAGUCCUCACUAUUCUGUUAGUGUGUUAAUAAAUAUAAUGAGGGCUUAUUCUGAGAGUGGAUAUUGUCUAGAAGACAAUAGUUGUAUUAAAACUCAUAGCUCUCUUGUUGUAUAUUAAAGAUUGUAUUUGUAUUCUGUACCAUAUAUUUGACGACUCAGAAUAGGUGAUGUAUACCUAUUUUGGGGGCAUCACAGCAUAGACAGAUUAUUCCAACAUAAUAAUAAAGAAUGGAAUAACAGAAGAAUUUCACCAUGUAUGCGGUACUUCGCAUAGACUGAUUAUUCCAACCUAAUAAUAAAGAAUGGAAUAACAGAAGUUGUAAGACCCCG